AACGUAAACAAACCGCCUUCAGGAUGGGGACAACAGACGGAAACGACUGCUAAUACCGAAUAAGUUCCAAGAGCCGCAUGGCCCAUGGAAGAAAAAGGUGGCCUCUACCUGUAAGCUAUCGCCUGAAGAGGGGUUUGCGUCUGAUUAGCUGGUUGGAGGGGUAACGGCCCACCAAGGCGACGAUCAGUAGCCGGUCUGAGAGGAUGAACGGCCACACUGGAACUGAGACACGGUCCAG
rnacentral:rRNA from 1 species